rnacentral:rRNA from 1 species
CCUACGGGAGGCAGCAGUGGGGAAUAUUGGGCAAUGGGCGCAAGCCUGACCCAGCAACGCCGCGUGAAGGAAGAAGGCGUUCGGGUUGUAAACUUCUUGUAAGAGGGAAGAGCAGAAGACGGGACCUCUUGAAUAAGCCACGGCUAACUACGUGCCAGCAGCCGCGGUAAUACGUAGGUGGCAAGCGUUGUCCGGAUUUACUGGGUGGAAAGGGCGGGUAGCCGGGCUGACAAGUCAGAUGUGAAAUCCCGUGGCUCAACCACGGAACUGCAUUUGAAACUGUCGGUCUUGAGUAUCGGAGAGGCCGGCGGUAUUCCUCGUGUUGCUGUGACCUGCGUAGAUAUUAGGCGUAACCCCAGUUGC